rnacentral:rRNA from 1 species
UACGGGGGGGGCAAGCGUUGUUCGGAAUUACUGGGCGUAAAGGGUUCGUAGGUGGCUUGCUAAGUCAGACGUGAAAUCCCUCAGCUUAACUGGGGAACUGCGUCUGAGACUGUCAGGCUUGAGUGCAGGAGAGGAACGCGGAAUUCCAGGUGUAGCGGUGAAAUGCGUAGAUAUCUGGAGGAACACCGGUGGCGAAGGCGGCGUUCUGGACUGUAACUGACGCUGAGGCACGAAAGCGUGGGGAGCAAACAGG